GCCGCUGCUCCGACCAAUAAGCGAGGCGAGGGGGCGGGCGGAGGGCUGUGGCAGGCCAAUGGGCGCCGGCCCCGCCGCCUCGACCUCGCCGUGGAAGCGGCGCGAGCGGAGGGCCGUUGGGGGCGAGACUCCAAAGCAGGGAAACAGCCGUUGCAAGCCUGAAUUCAUUCAUCCAACAGACACUGAAUGAGGACCAGCACAUCAGGAAGGCCUGCAUGAGUAACCAGCCCCAGUGCCCGUCCCAGGCUUCAAGAGUGGAAUUAGCUUUGAGCUCCUUAGAAGUCAGAUGGCUAGGAAAAUUCAGAAGUGUUGGAAUCUUCCAUUCCUUCUUUAAGGCAAGGCUGUCGCUCUCACCGCAGCGUCCAGCUCCAGCUCCUGGCUGAUCUGGGAAGAGCCCUGCUGGCAAAUCAGGGGUCUCUGAGCCUCAGGGGCUGAAUGUGUGAAAGGCUGACAAUUGCCCCCUCCCUGAGGCCUGCUCCACCACACGUUCCCAGCUUCUCUCCUCCACGCCUUCCUUCCAUUUCCCGAAGUUCGCAGGGGACACGUAGUGACUCACCUGGAUCGUCACAGCCCUCCUUUGCCCAGUAGCAGCCUAUGUGGUGGUUCUCACACCAGCCCUGCAAGGACAGGACAGAAAUGCCCCAUUUUCUCAGCCCUCACUGAGUUCAGAGAGAGCCCAAAGUUUAACAAACAUCAGCUUUAAUUCUCACAAUGUUUCCUCUUUGACAGAUAAGGAACUUAAGGCUCAGAGAGGCUGUACAAGUUGUCCAAGGUCACACAGCCAGUUCCAAGAAAUUCACAGCCAACGUAUCAAAAGGAACAGUUACACGGUGUUCUAUGCACCCAGCACUGAUUUUUAAAGGUAUAUUCUACCAUCCCCACAACUAGACUCCAGCAGGCCCUGAGGAACCUGCCCAGGGGCCCAGGCGUACCCACGGGAAGAUGAGGGGCAGGGGGUUGCUCAUCAGUCUGGGAAAAGGCCCAGAGGUGGCAUUCGUUGCUCCCUGAGGGACAACAGGAGUUCCCCAGACUCACCCAUUCACUAAGCAAAUCCUGACACUUGCCCUGAGGGUCAGCUGUUGAGGGGAGAAAGAGAGCGGCAGGGAAGAGUCUUCCAGACUCUCUCAGACAGAGAGUCAAGAAGCAAAGAAAUGGCGAGGUACACGCAGGGCCAGUAUUUUCAGAGAAGCAGGAGCAGAGAGGGAGGGAAGACUUGAACAAUGUGAAGGACCUUUGGUGGGGGAAAUGAACAAAAGAAGUGCACACGCACGAUCUCCAGCACACUUCACGGUUUUCUCCUGGGAAAAUCUGUAGCCAACUGAAAAGCUGUGCACCCACAGUGAGUGGCCUCAGAAGGUCUCAGCGGACUUGGGACAGAGACAGUGUCUGCUGCCACAGUCGACGGGGGUCCCUCCAGGCCUCCGACACUCUCUGCACAGGCUGACCACACAUGUGUAACCUUCUGUGAGUGUGCCCAGCACCACGCCUGUGGGCUCAGUAAAAACACUGGGAGAGGGGCGCCUGGGUGGCUCAGUUGGUUAAGUGACUGCCUUCGGCUCAGGUCAUGAUCCUGGAGUCGUGGGAUCGAGUCCCGCAUCGGGCUCCCUGCUCGGCAGGGAGCCUGCUUCUCCCUCUGACCCUCCCCCCUCUCAUGUGCUCUCUCUCUCUCUCAUUCUCUCUCUUUCAAAUAAAUAAAUAAAAUCUUUAAAAAAACAAAACAAAACAAAACACUGGGAGAAUGCAGCUCGGAGGCCACGCCCCCCAGGAGGCUUCCCCCGACUCUCCUGGGGGAGUUUUCUUGUCCUCAGGUUAUCUUCCCAUCAGACCCCUAGUGUUUCCUGCCCUGGGCUGAGCCACGUCGGAGUUCUCCAUGGCGUGCGGUGCUGUGUCUUCACUGUGUUGUUCAUUUUUACUACCUCACCUUUCCCUCCAGGGCUCAGGGUCCACUGGGUAGAUAACACCAGGGCAAGACUCCUGCAUCCCUCAAGGAGGCUGGGUCCCUCUGGGUCCCACUUGGCCCUGAGAGCCCCUGAGUUCUGAGCAGACAAAUCUUCCCACCAUCACCAUGGCGAUCUAAAAUAUAUCCAAAAAUGCUUUUGAGAUUUUUCCCUUUCACAGGUAGAGCCUAGUUCCCCUCCCUUUGCAUGUGGGCCAGACUUGGUGACUUGCUUCUAAUGCAUAGAAUGUGGCAGAAGGGAUGCCCUGACUGGGAGGUCAAGCAAUGAAACGGUUAUAGCUUCCUCCUGGCUCCUUCCUCUGGGACCGCUCACUCUGGGGGAGGUCAGUUAGUAUCCUUAGGACACUUGAGCAGCCCUCUGGAGACGCCCCUGUGGGGAGGAAGCGAGUCUCCCACCAAAGCCAGCACCAGCGGUGUUCGAAUGAGCUGCUGCACAGGGGCGUCCCCCAGCCUCAGUCAGGCCUUCAGAUGACUGUGGCCCCAGCAACACGGGCUUGCAGGGCUCGAGACUCCCAGCCAGAACCGACCAGCCAAACCACGCUCAAAUUCCUGAUCCGCAGAAACUGUGAGAGAGAAUAAAUGUUUCUUGUCGAAUCAAGCCACCAAGUUUGGAGGUAAUUUGUUGCACAGCAGUAGAUAACGAGGACAUUAUCCUUCUCCCCACUGCCUCUCUCCAAGCUCCUUCUGCUGCAGCCAAACUCCACCACUCACUGUGUAAAGCAGUGCAUUUUGACUGAGAAUCUUCUGUGUGCCAGGCCUGGCCAGACACUGGGAAUGUGGCACUGAGCCGGCUAGACCAGCGUGGGCUCUGUCCUCAUGAGCUUAAGGGGUCACACACUUCAGACAUUCACAUAUCCGCUUUGGCCCAUGUGCCCUCCAUCCAGAAAGCUCGCC